rnacentral:rRNA from 1 species
CCCUUCGACGUCUGGGGCCGCACGCGUGCUACAGUGGUGGUGGUAACGCGCGUUCCGUGCUCGUAAGGUGUUCGGGAAUCGUCAAGCUCCCCCAUGCCGGGGAUCGCGGCUUGCAAUUGUGCCUCGUGAACCAGGAAUGCCUAGUAGUCGCGGGUCAUGACCUCGCGUCGACUGCGUCCCUGCCCUUUGUACACACCGCCCGUCGCUACUACCGAUUGAAUGGUUUAGUGAGAUCUUCGGAUUGGCGCCACUGCGGCUCAGCAAUGGGCUCGGUGGAUGCCGAAAAGUUGAUCAAACUUGAUCAUUUAGAGGAAGUAAAAGUCGUAACA